CUGGGACAAGAAGAGACUUUUCCUUGUAGCUUCCCACAAGCGCUGGCGACUUCCAGAUCACGAUGAUGUACUGUAUUGUGGCAGUGAACCACAGCUCCUUCAGCAACUGCCUGCAGCCCAAUCUCCUUCUGUGAGCAGAAAUGAAGACAUUUGUCACUGCAGCUCUGGUUCUGUGACGUGCUGGCUUCCAACCUGCUGCAGGUCCCAGAACCACAGAGGAUCAUGCUCCUUGAGAUGAACACCACAGUCCUCCCUCCCUUGCAGUGGUGUCGGAAGAGAUUUGGCAG
ensembl:lncRNA